CAGAGUUCAUGCCCUUUGGGUAGAUCUCCCACCCAGUGCUAUAACUACUUUGUUGCUUUGGCGGGCCGUUUGGCCCUCAGCCCAACUACUGGCUCUAGCUGGUAAGCGCCCGCCAGAGGACCCAAACCCUAAUCAUUAAAGUAUCGUCUGAGAACUAUAUAAUAGUUA
rnacentral:misc_RNA from 1 species